UAGCCUAGUGGAUAAGGCUAUGGAUUGCCAAUCCAGAGACGGCGGGUUCGAUUCCCGU
rnacentral:tRNA from 1 species